rnacentral:tRNA from 1 species
GGGGUUGUAGCUCAGUGGUAGAGUGCUUUCCUAGCAUGUGUGAGGCACUGGGUUCGAUUCUCAGCACCACA